rnacentral:rRNA from 1 species
GUCCUUUUGAAUAAAAUUUAAGGUCUAACCUGCCCACUGAUUUAUUUGAAUGGCCGCGGUAUUUUGACCGUGCUAAGGUAGCAUAAUCAUUAGUUUUUUAAUUGAAAGCUGGAAUGAAGGGUUGAAUGAAAAAAUAACUGUCUCUUAUAAAUUUUAUUAGAAUUUUAUUUUUAAGUUAAAAAGCUUAAAUUUAUUUAAAAGACGAGAAGACCCUAUAGAGUUUAAUAUUUUAAUGUUAAUAAAAAUAAAGAAUUUAAUUUUUAUUGGUAUUAUUAUAUUUAAUUGGGGUGAUUAAAAAAUUUAUUAAACUUUUUUUUUAUUUAAAUAUUAAUUAAUAAGUAAUUGAUCCAAAUUUUUUGAUUAUAAGAAUAAAUUACCUUAGGGAUAACAGCGUAAUUAUAUUGGAGAGUUCUAAUCGAUAGUAUAGAUUGCGA